UGGGGAAUUUUGGACAAUGGGCGAAAGCCUGAUCCAGCAAUGCCGCGUGUGAAGAAGGCCUUCGGGUUGUAAAGCACUUUUGUCCGGAAAGAAAUCCUUGGCUCUAAUACAGUCGGGGGAUGACGGUACCGGAAGAAUAAGCACCGGCUAACUACGUGCCAGCAGCCGCGGUAAUACGUAGGGUGCAAGCGUUAAUCGGAAUUACUGGGCGUAAAGCGUGCGCAGGCGGUUUGCUAAGACCGAUGUGAAAUCCCCGGGCUCAACCUGGGAACUGCAUUGGUGACUGGCAGGCUAGAGUAUGGCAGAGGGGGGUAGAAUUCCACGUGUAGCAGUGAAAUGCGUAGAGAUGUGGAGGAAUACCGAUGGCGAAGGCAGCCCCCUGGGCCAAUACUGACGCUCAUGCACGAAAGCGUGGGGAGCAAACAGGAUUAGAUACCCUGGUAGUCCACGCCCUAAAACGAUGUCAACUAGUUGUUGGGGAUUCAUUUCCUUAGUAACGUAGCUAACGCGUGAAGUUGACCGCCUGGGGAGUACGGUCGCAAGAUUAAAACUUAAAGGAAUUGACGGGGUCAUAGCUGUUUCCU
rnacentral:rRNA from 1 species